rnacentral:rRNA from 1 species
GACGAACGCUGGCGGCGUGCCUAAUACAUGCAUGUAGAACGCAGUUGCGAACGGGUGAGUAACGAGUAGGUAACUGCCUGGUAGCGGGGGAUAACUAUUGGAAACGAUAGCUAAUACAGCAUACUACCAGAUGGACCUGCGUUGUAUUAGCUAGUUGGUGGGGUACCGGGUCACCAAGGCAACAAUACAUAGCCGACCCGAGAGGGUGAUCGGCCCCACUGGGACUGAGGCACGGCCCAGACUCCUACGGGAUGCAGCAGUAGGGAAUCUUCGGCAAUUGGGGGAACACUGACAGGGCAACGCCGCGUGAGUGAAGAAGGUUUUCGGAUCGUAAAGCUCUGUUGUUAAGGAAGCGGUACUUAACCAGAAAGGGACGACUAACUACGUGCCAGCGGCCGCGGUAAUUC